rnacentral:rRNA from 1 species
UACGUAGGGGGCAAGCGUUGUCCGGAAUCAUUGGGCGUAAAGAGCGUGUAGGCGGCUUGGUAGGUCUGCUGUGAAAACUCGAGGCUCAACUUCGAGCUGUCGGUGGAAACUUUCUGGCUAGAGUCCGGAAGAGGAGAAUGGAAUUCCUGGUGUAGCGGUGAAAUGCGCAGAUAUCAGGAAGAACACCCGUGGCGAAGGCGGCUACCUGGAUUGAUACUGACACUGAGGCGCGAAAGCGUGGGGAGCAAACAGG